GACGAAGGAUGCAAGCGUUAUCCGGAUUCAUUGGGUUUAAAGGGAGCGUAGGCGGAUAGGUAAGUCAGUGGUGAAAUCCCAUCGCUUAACGAUGGAACUGCCAUUGAUACUGCUUAUCUAGAGUACAGUUGCCGUUGGCGGAAUAUGACAUGUAGUGGUGAAAUACUUAGAUAUGUCAUAGAACACCGAUUGCGAAGGCAGCUAACGAAGCUGUAACUGACGCUGAGGCUCGAAAGUGCGGGGAUCAAACAGGAUUAGAUACCCUGGUAGUCCGCACUGUAAACGAUGAUCACUCGCUGCUGGGGGGUAACCUUCAGUGGCCAAGCGAAAGCGAUAAGUGAUCCACCUGGGGAGUACGCCGGCAACGGUGAA
rnacentral:rRNA from 1 species